rnacentral:rRNA from 1 species
GACGAACGCUGGCGGCGUGCCUAAUACAUGCAAGUCGAACGAACUCUGGUAUUGAUUGGUGCUUGCAUCAUGAUUUACAUUUGAGUGAGUGGCGAACUGGUGAGUAACACGUGGGAAACCUGCCCAGAAGCGGGGGAUAACACCUGGAAACAGAUGCUAAUACCGCAUAACAACUUGGACCGCAUGGUCCGAGCUUGAAAGAUGGCUUCGGCUAUCACUUUUGGAUGGUCCCGCGGCGUAUUAGCUAGAUGGUGGGGUAACGGCUCACCAUGGCAAUGAUACGUAGCCGACCUGAGAGGGUAAUCGGCCACAUUGGGACUGAGACACGGCCCAAACUCCUACGGGAGGCAGCAGUAGGGAAUCUUCCACAAUGGACGAAAGUCUGAUGGAGCAACGCCGCGUGAGUGAAGAAGGGUUUCGGCUCGUAAAACUCUGUUGUUAAAGAAGAACAUAUCUGAGAGUAACUGUUCAGGUAUUGACGGUAUUUAACCAGAAAGCCACGGCUAACUACGUGCCAGCAGCCGCGGUAAUACGUAGGUGGCAAGCGUUGUCCGGAUUUAUUGGGCGUAAAGCGAGCGCAGGCGGUUUUUUAAGUCUGAUGUGAAAGCCUUCGGCUCAACCGAAGAAGUGCAUCGGAAACUGGGAAACUUGAGUGCAGAAGAGGACAGUGGAACUCCAUGUGUAGCGGUGAAAUGCGUAGAUAUAUGGAAGAACACCAGUGGCGAAGGCGGCUGUCUGGUCUGUAACUGACGCUGAGGCUCGAAAGUAUGGGUAGCAAACAGGAUUAGAUACCCUGGUAGUCCAUACCGUAAACGAUGAAUGCUAAGUGUUGGAGGGUUUCCGCCCUUCAGUGCUGCAGCUAACGCAUUAAGCAUUCCGCCUGGGGAGUACGGCCGCAAGGCUGAAACUCAAAGGAAUUGACGGGGGCCCGCACAAGCGGUGGAGCAUGUGGUUUAAUUCGAAGCUACGCGAAGAACCUUACCAGGUCUUGACAUACUAUGCAAAUCUAAGAGAUUAGACGUUCCCUUCGGGGACAUGGAUACAGGUGGUGCAUGGUUGUCGUCAGCUCGUGUCGUGAGAUGUUGGGUUAAGUCCCGCAACGAGCGCAACCCUUAUUAUCAGUUGCCAGCAUUAAGUUGGGCACUCUGGUGAGACUGCCGGUGACAAACCGGAGGAAGGUGGGGAUGACGUCAAAUCAUCAUGCCCCUUAUGACCUGGGCUACACACGUGCUACAAUGGAUGGUACAACGAGUUGCGAACUCGCGAGAGUAAGCUAAUCUCCUAAAGCCAUUCUCAGUUCGGAUUGUAGGCUGCAACUCGCCUACAUGAAGUCGGAAUCGCUAGUAAUCGCGGAUCAGCAUGCCGCGGUGAAUACGUUCCCGGGCCUUGUACACACCGCCCGUCACACCAUGAGAGUUUGUAACACCCAAAGUCGGUGGGGUAACCUUUUAGGAACCAGCCGCCUAAGGUGGGACAGAUGAUUAGGGUG